GUGUCAGCAGCCGCGGUAAUACGGAGGGGGCGAGCGUUAUUCGGAAUUAUUGGGCGUAAAGGGCGCGUAGGCGGCUUGACAAGUCAAAGGUGAAAUCCCUCGGCUCAACUGAGGAACUGCCUUUGAAACUGUCUGGCUUGAGGCCGGGAGGGGGUAGCGGAAUUCCCAGUGUAGCGGUGAAAUGCGUAGAUAUUGGGAGGAACACCAGUGGCGAAGGCGGCUACCUGGACCGGUUCUGACGCUGAUGCGCGAAAGCGUGGGUAGCAAACAGGAUUAGAAACCCCCGUAGUCC
rnacentral:rRNA from 1 species